AUUGAACGCUGGCGGCAUGCUUUACACAUGCAAGUCGAACGGUAACAGGUUAAGCUGACGAGUGGCGAACGGGUGAGUAAUGCAUCGGAACGUGCCCAGUCGUGGGGGAUAACGCAGCGAAAGCUGUGCUAAUACCGCAUACGAUCUAUGGAUGAAAGCGGGGGACCGUAAGGCCUCGCGCGAUUGGAGCGGCCGAUGUCAGAUUAGCUAGUUGGUGGGGUAAAGGCCCACCAAGGCGACGAUCAGUAUCUGGUUUGAGAGGACGAUCAGACACACUGGAACUGAGACACGGUCCAGACUCCUACGGGAGGCAGCAGUGGGGAAUUUUCCGCAAUGGGCGAAAGCCUGACGGAGCAAUACCGCGUGAGGGAAGAAUGCCUAUGGGUUGUAAACCUCUUUUUCAGGGAGGAAUAAAAUGACGUGUACCUGAAGAAUAAGCAUCGGCUAACUCCGUG
rnacentral:rRNA from 1 species